ANUCCGAUUGCGAAGGCAGCUUGCUGGACUGUAACUGACGCUGAGGCACGAAAGCGUGGGGAUCAAACAGGAUUAGAUACCCUGGUANNCCACGCCGUAAACGAUGAAUGCUAGCUGUUAGCGAUAUACUGUUAGCGGCACAGAGAAAUCGUUAAGCAUUCCACCUGGGGAGUACGCCGGCAACGGUGAAACUCAAAGGAAUUGANNNNNGCCCGCACAAGCGGAGGAACAUGUGGUUUAAUUCGAUGAUACGCGAGGAACCUUACCUGGGCUUAAAUUGCAGUGGAAUAACGUGGAAACAUGUUAGCCUUCGGGCCGCUGUGAAGGUGCUGCAUGGUUGUCGUCAGCUCGUGCCGUGAGGUGUCGGCUUAAGUGCCAUAACGAGCGCAACCCUCAUCGAUAGUUACUAACAGGUUAAGCUGAGGACUCUAUCGAGACUGCCGACGUAAGUCGUGAGGAAGGUGGGGAUGACGUCAAAUCAGCACGGCCCUUACGUCCAGGGCUACACACGUGUUACAAUGGGGGGUACAAAGGGCAGCUACCUGGCGACAGGAUGCUAAUCUCUAAAACCUCUCUCAGUUCGGAUUGGAGUCUGCAACCCGACUCCAUGAAGCUGGAUUCGCUAGUAAUCGCGCAUCAGCCACGGCGCGGUGAAUACGUUCCCGGGCCUUGUACACACCGCCCGUCAAGCCAUGGGAGCCGGGGGGACCUGAAGUAUGCAACCGUAAGGAGCGUCCUAGGGUAAAACUGGUGACUGGGGCU
rnacentral:rRNA from 1 species